rnacentral:rRNA from 1 species
AGUGAACGCUGGCGGUAGGCCUAACACAUGCAAGUCGAACGGCAGCACAGUAAGAGCUUGCUCUUACGGGUGGCGAGUGGCGGACGGGUGAGGAAUACAUCGGAAUCUACUUUUUCGUGGGGGAUAACGUAGGGAAACUUACGCUAAUACCGCAUACGACCUACGGGUGAAAGCAGGAGAUCUUCGGACCUUGCGCGAUUGAAUGAGCCGAUGUCGGAUUAGCUAGUUGGCGGGGUAAAGGCCCACCAAGGCGACGAUCCGUAGCUGGUCUGAGAGGAUGAUCAGCCACACUGGAACUGAGACACGGUCCAGACUCCUACGGGAGGCAGCAGUGGGGAAUAUUGGACAAUGGGCGCAAGCCUGAUCCAGCCAUACCGCGUGGGUGAAGAAGGUCUUCGGGUUGUAAAGCCCUUUUGUUGGGAAAGAAAAGCAGCAGGUGAAUACCCCGCUGUUCUGACGGUACCCAAAGAAUAAGCACCGGCUAACUUCGUG